rnacentral:piRNA from 1 species
UGUAGACUUUGCCAUGGGAAA